UCUACAAGACAUGGGGCAAGUAGCAUCUUGAUGUUAUUGUUUUUGGUAAAAAAAUCCCCUAUUGUUUCACUGCUGGCCUAUGUUGAAGUUUGUUAUAGCUUGUUGUUGAUUUGAUCCAUGUGCUGAAAGCAGUUGAUCUUAUUUUUCAUAUGUAGAUGCAAUAUUUCUUUUCGUGUAUGGGAAAAAGCAAUAGCUAGAACUGACAUCUCUCUCUCAUGAGGUGUGCUUGUGUUAUGUCCAAGCAGCAUCAUCCCCUUUUGGAUGUUCAGUUUACUGUACAAGUCAAUAUGGCUUUGAUUUUUAAAUCAGCUUCAAAAGGUUGCUUUCACAAUCCUUUGAUGUUCAGUUUACUGCGCGAGUCACUGAUGGAUUGCUGUUAAUUUGCCCCACGAUUCUGUUGCUAGAAGGGAAGAGUAAUAUGCAUAUGGGCAGUUGUUGAAUCGAGAUCCAAUCCACCGACAAUGAGAGUUGACACGGCAACGAAGCCCAACCCCCGAGAAAAUAAGAUGUGAGCAAGAACAGAAGAGAGAUGUAGUGCUUUUGUACUAAUAUUGGUUUGCAUCUGUACUGACUAGAAAAUGAGAGAGAGAGAGCUUUGGUACUGAUAUUGGGUGAGAGAGUAUAGAAUUCAGGUCUGGGUUAUUAACUAGAGUGAACAGAAUAACCACAGAAGUUUGGUAUACAACUACAGUACAUUAUAACAGACAAGUUUUUGAAUCUAUCAAGCAUCAAGGUAAGCUUUCAUGAUCAUAGAAAUGUAGGUGUUUGUAUUAGCGCAAUGCUUUAAUCAGUAGGGUCUUUCCCAUCUAUGAUCAAGGUUGAUUGCGUCAGCUCUGUUGUGGCGUUCAUGUAUAUGACAAUGGAAUGAUGUGAAAUUAUGGUAUCGAGGCUUUUUUUGAAGCAUGCCUAGGGUUUUGUUCCUGUUUGUGUUGAUCUAAACAUGUGCUCUGUUCAUGUAGAAGAACUCAUAUGAAUCUGCCUUAGGGCAAUAAUUGAGAACAUGUGAUCAGUAUGUUAGCCAAAACUGAACAUUUGAUCUCUAUUGAACUGAAAGGAUUGUAUAUUUGAUCUCGGUUUAACUGAAAAGAUUGAACCUUUACUUCUGAUCUCUGUUUAAGUUUAAAAAUUCAGCUGUUUCACAAACUUUCUAUAGUUCAGAAACUGAAUCUUUAGAUGUACUCUGUUUUAGUGCAGAAAAUGAAUUUUAGUGCACAAACUGAAUUAGUACAUAAACUGAAAAGACUGAACCUUUACUUCUGAUCUUAGUUUAAGUUUAAAAAUUCAGCUGUUCCACAUGUUGGAUAAUUCUAUAUUUUCUAGAAAGAAUAAAAAGAUUUUAUGGAUCUCUACAUUGUAAUGGAUUUUAUUGUGCUGCUACUCUUCAGUUGCAUUGCACCCCCGCAUCCAGAAUUCGAAGUUGGUUCAGUUUAGACUUUGCAGAUCAUCAAAAAUAGGUUUCUUUUGCUGAUAAUUUUUCUUUACUGAGAACCAAAAACUACACCUGGACCAUCAUUUACUAAGACUGGAUCUCAUCAUGGCUAUAUUACAACUCGGUAGUGUCUCAUUCUAACUGGCAUGUUAUUAUUUUACCAUGCUAAUGCAGGCGAUCUGAAGCAAGGAAAUGCUCAUGCCUAUAGACCCAAGUGGCACUAUUAUCAUGUAGGUGGAGGUGUUCCUCUGCUCGCCAACUGCAGGAGGCGAGCAAAGCUACAACGGAGCGGCAGAUUAGGGACUUGGGUCGCUAACCAACAAAUCAACUCAAUGGCAUUCUUCUCACUUACCGGUCAAAUCCUGAACCUAGAUUCUGCAGUUUGCCUGAUAGAGUGAAUUCCAUUAUAAAAUGAAGUUCCUUCUAUCAAUUAUAUAGCUUUUAUUAAUUUAAUUUUUCUACUUUGUACUCCCUCCGUCCCAAAAUAAGUGACUGAACUUUGUACUAAGAGGGAGUAUAUACGUAUUGGUUCUUUGGAUGCUUUCGUUUAAAGAUUUGCAGAGAUCAAUGAGGAUUUGGGUGGCAUGAAGGGGACUGGUGAUAGGAAACAUGGGUCCAAGAAGAAAUCAAACAGCAUGGUGAGUUGUUCUUCCUUUUCAACCGUGUUCUAUAAAGUGCUUGUGUGUUGGUCUGAUGUAUAUAAGUGAAAGAAAAUAAAAAAUGGAUGGAGGAAGGGAACUUCUUGCUUUUCUUUUCCUUUUGUUUCUCUGUUUGAUAAUUACUCCCUACGAUGAGAACGUCUACGAAUAGAAAUGUCCUACUCCUUGAUCCCUUUUAGUGUGAACGGCUCGACGGCAAGCAUGACCGUCUGCUCCACGCAUUAUUGGUUGUGUCUCUGGCUCCGUGUGCGCUGCGCCACACGCGUGUUUGUUGCUUGCGUGCUGCUACUGCGUGUAUGGUGUGUUGGCUUGAUGUGUGUGUGUGUGUGUGUGCACGCACUAGCUAGGUGAGGAUCACUGGCUCAUUGCUCUCUCUCUCUGUAGCUUCUUAGAGAAAAAUACUUUGCCGUUGGUCUGCAUCAUGCUUCUAGCAUCUUUCCAGGCAGGUAGAUGUUUCCAACAUCAAGAGAGAAAAGGUCAUUGCAUGCAUAUACUUUUAGAUGACACAUGACCAGAAGUCUUUCCUAUGAAAAUCAUGUGGCCUUGUGACACCCCGACCCUUUUCUUCAGAAAUUUGUGAUGUGUUUAUGCAUGUCUGUUGUGAUGUGCAUAGGAGCAUGAUUUGUUCUGCCACUUUAGGCAUUAGCACACCUAUAAUAUAGGUCUUGAGUCUACAAAGCGCACGUGUGAAUUGGCAAUGUCUGCAUAAAUAUGAUGUAUUAAAUUAUGUUUUGAGAGGGAUUUGUUCAUUUUCAAAACUAAGGAAGUUGGGUGAGCUUAAAACACCCAUUCAUCAUUUUCAGUGAACUUUUCUAAUUGUAUUUUAAAUCCACAAGAGGGAAAAAUCAUUGCUCUUUCCCAGAUCAUCUAAAUCGGAUGGGCGGGCUCCAAACUCCCAGCGCCAUUUGUCAUUUUUGUGUUUUGAUUUGUACUUGAGUGCCUUUGGACCGAUGGUACUAUGGAGAGGUGACAUUAACACCAUUGAUGGUUGCUUCUCUCCUGUAGACUACAUCUCCUUCUUCUAUAUGUCAAUAUAUCAACAAAACAAGAGAUCUAUAAUAUCAUUGUUUAUGGAGUUCACAGAUUAUUGAAGAUUUUUGCUGCCAUGGAAUUGUGAGUUUGUGACUAUACAUUCUUGUGUCCUACAUGUGAAUUGAAGAUAUAUUGUCUCUGUAUGUGAAUGUAAAUAUCCAGGUAUGUAGGCAAGUCCUAACUUUUCUACUGACUGUAUUUUCUUGACAGCUUUAAGAGAAGAACGAGUACUGUUAGUCAUUCUCUGUCAUGUAUAAUAGUACAAUACUGGAGAUGUGAAUGGAUAAUGUUCAUUUAAUACAGUAUCAGUAGAUGAUGAUUUGUUUCCUUCGCAAUCAACUCGUGUAUAUCCUGAUAUGUUCGGUCUAUUCCCAAAUUAAUGCAUAAAGUAGCCUUAACAAUUAUAUAGUCUCUCUAUGUAUUAGUACUCUGUUUUCUCUGGUUUUUUGUCAGAUGGAAGAAA